rnacentral:misc_RNA from 1 species
GAUGAAGAACGUAGCGAAAUGCGAUACGUAAUGUGAAUUGCAGAAUUCAGUGAAUCAUCGAAUCUUUGAACGCAUAUUGCGCUCUCUGGUAUUCCGGAGAGCAUGCUUGUUUGAGUAUCAGUAAACACCUCAACUCCCUUUUCUUUUUUGAAAUUGGAGCUGGACUUGAGUGAUCCCAACGCUUUCUUCCAAGAAAGUGGCGGGUUGCUUGAAAUGCAGGUGCAGCUGAACUUUUCUCUGAGCUAUAAGCAUAUCUAUUUAGUCUGCCUAAAAAACAGAUUAUUACCUUUGCUGCAGCUAACAUAAAGGAGACUAGUUCUUGUGCUGACUGAUGCAGGAUUCACAGAGACAGCUUCGGCUGACUUUUUAAACUCGAUCUCAAAUCAAGUAAGACUACCCGCUGAACUUAAGCAUAUCAAUAAGCGGAGGA